rnacentral:rRNA from 1 species
UACGGGGGGGGCAAGCGUUGUUCGGAAUUACUGGGCGUAAAGGGCUCGUAGGCGGCCAACUAAGUCAGACGUGAAAUCCCCCGGCUUAACCUGGGAACUGCGUCUGAUACUGGACGGCUUGAGUAUGGGAGAGGAAUGUAGAAUUCCAGGUGUAGCGGUGAAAUGCGUAGAUAUCUGGAGGAAUACCGGUGGCGAAGGCGGCAUCCUGGACCGGCAUUGACGCUGAGGAGCGAAAGCCAGGGGAGCAAACGGG